rnacentral:rRNA from 1 species
CAGCAGCCGCGGGAAUACGUAGGUGGCAAGCGUUGUCCGGAAUUAUUGGGCGUAAAGGGCUCGCAGGCGGUUUCUUAAGUCUGAUGUGAAAGCCCCCGGCUCAACCGGGGAGGGUCAUUGGAAACUGGGAAACUUGAGUGCAGAAGAGGAGAGUGGAAUUCCACGUGUAGCGGUGAAAUGCGUAGAGAUGUGGAGGAACACCAGUGGCGAAGGCGACUCUCUGGUCUGUAACUGACGCUGAGGAGCGAAAGCGUGGGGAGCGAACAGGAUUAGAUACCCCCGUAGUCCCUGUCUCUUAUAU